rnacentral:tRNA from 2 species
GGGGGAUUAGCUCAGCUGGUAGAGCGCCUGCAUGGCAUGCAGGAGGUCAGGGGUUCAAGUCCCCUAUCCUCCACCA